GAUGAACGCUGGCGGCGUGCCUAAUACAUGCAAGUCGAGCGAACAGAUGAGGAGCUUGCUCCUCUGACGUUAGCGGCGGACGGGUGAGUAACACGUGGAUAACCUACCUAUAAGACUGGGAUAACUUCGGGAAACCGGAGCUAAUACCGGAUAAUAUAUUGAACCGCAUUGUUCAAUAGUUAAAUACGGUUUUGCUGUCUCUUAUAGAUGUAUCCGCGCCGCAUUAGCUAGUUGGUAAGGUAACGGCUUACCAAGGCAACGAUGCGUAGCCGACCUGAGAGGGUGAUCGGCCACACUGGAACUGAGACACGGUCCAGACUCCUACGGGAGGCAGCAGUAGGGAAUCUUCCGCAAUGGGCGAAAGCCUGACGGAGCAACGCCGCGUGAGUGAUGAAGGUCUUCGGAUCGUAAAACUCUGUUAUUAGGGAAGAACAAAUGUGUAAGUAACUAUGCACGUCUUGACGGUACCUAAUCAGAAAGCCACGGCUAACUACGUG
rnacentral:rRNA from 1 species